AAUCAACGCUGGCGGCGUGCCUCAGACAUGCAAGUCGAACGCGAAAGUCCCCUUCGGGGGACAAGUAGAGUGGCGCACGGGUGAGUAACACGUAGGUAAUCUACCUUCGGAUGGGGAAUAACAACCGGAAACGGUUGCUAAUACCGCAUAAUGCAGCGGCACCUAAUGGUGACAGUUGUUAAAGCGGGGGAUCGAAAGACCCCGCGUCUGAAGAGGAGCCUGCGGCGGAUUAGCUAGUUGGAAGGUAAUGGCUUACCAAGGCGACGAUCCGUAGCCGGCCCUGAGAGGGGCGGUCGGGCCACACUGACACUGACAUACGGGUCAGACUCCUACGGGAGGCAGCAGUCGGGAAUUUUGGGCAAUGGGCGAAAGCCUGACCCAGCAACGCCGCGUGAAGGAUGAAAUCCCUC
rnacentral:rRNA from 1 species